AUACGGAGGGUGCGAGCGUUAAUCGGAAUUACUGGGCGUAAAGCGUGCGUAGGCGGUUUGCUAAGUCAGAUGUGAAAGCCCCGGGCUUAACCUGGGAACUGCAUUUGAUACUGGCAGACUAGAGUAUGAUAGAGGGGGGUAGAAUUCCUGGUGUAGCGGUGAAAUGCGUAGAUAUCAGGAGGAAUACCAGUGGCGAAGGCGGCCCCCUGGAUCAAUACUGACGCUGAGGUACGAAAGCGUGGGGAGCGAACAGGAGUAGAUACCCUAGUAGUCC
rnacentral:rRNA from 1 species